UUAAGUACGCGAGCAUUUGGUGUUCCCGCGCCGCUUUGGCGGCAAGGGAAUGAAACGGGAAGCCGGUGACGGCCCAUUUGGGUCCAGUCCGGCGCUGCCCCCGCAACGGUAGGCGAGACACUGCUCCAUAAAGCCACUGCGCACGAAUCGCGCGGGAAGGCGGAGACAGGUGGGAAGGGACGCCCAGCUCGCAAGCCCGGAGACCGGCCAGACGCAUAAACUGCGG
rnacentral:ncRNA from 2 species